GGGGGUGUAGCUCAGUUGGUAGAGCGUCUGUCUCGCUCACAGAAGGCCAGCGGUUCGACUCCGCUCACCUCCACCA
rnacentral:tRNA from 1 species